rnacentral:ncRNA from 1 species
CCGAACGCAAUGAGAAAGAAGAGUAGCACGGCGACACCGCAAGCGAGCCCCGGUUGGUGGAAGGGGGCCGGAAGGUUGCCGUGUGAAAAUCACUUUCGAGCCUGAGCCAACCAAGGUUCAGUGGUACACACCCAUUAUCGUGUGCGCGUAUCGCCUACUGGGCCGUACGCAGUAAGGUUGGCCUAGCGAUGGGCCGGCAAAGACCAAGGUGGUACCACGCAAAGCGUCCCUUAA